CUGUGAUUACCUCUUGACAGGUUGUCAAGCUACCAAGCCAGAAGCAAUAUUCCAGUUGGGGAAAGAAGAACAAGGAAUAGUAGAGAGAGAAUUCCCAAGUUGGUGCAGUCCAGCACGAUGGAAUUUAGUCGCCAGAAAAUGGCCAUCUCGCUAUCUGUAAGAAGCAUCUUCCAAGACUGCUGCUUCCAUGUGCACGCCUGGUUUCAAAGUCUGUAGACAUCUUGUGUUCCGCGAAGGUGCUACUGAGUCUGCACAAGAGCGUGACUACGGCAGUGAGUGAAGAGGUUACGGAAACCUGCUAGUCCUCAAGCGAAUGUUUGUGCGACUCCAGCUGUAGGGUGAGUUUCCCAGCGCUGUUGGGGUCCUUGACCGGAUGCGACCAGCAUGGGGUACUUGUGGAGGUUUGCGGUGUAAGAAGGCUUCAGGGAAUGGUCAGUGGAAUCUGAAGCUGGGGGUUAGCCACUGAGGGCUUCUGUGGUCUGGAUUGGAGCAUCCUCAGCGUCGAGUGGAAGUCGGUGUCUGGGGAACCAGGAAAAGCGAGCAAGCGAUGCGGAGUUGGGGGCCAUUAUGGCUAUCGGUGAUGGGAAGGGCUGGGGAAGGAGGUACUUCAUUGCUUC
rnacentral:lncRNA from 1 species